rnacentral:rRNA from 1 species
GACGAACGCUGGCGGCGUGCUUAACACAUGCAAGUCGAACGGUGAAGCGCCUUCCUUUUUGGUGGGUGUGGAUGAGUGGCGAACGGGUGAGUAACACGUGAGUAACCUGCCCCCUUCUUCUGGAUAACCGCAUGAAAGUGUGGCUAAUACGGGAUAUUCUGGGUCUGUCGCAUGAUGGGUCUGGGAAAGAUAUUGUUUCGGUGGGGGAUGGGCUCGCGGCCUAUCAGCUUGUUGGUGGGGUGAUGGCCUACCAAGGCGGUGACGGGUAGCCGGCCUGAGAGGGUGGACGGUCACACUGGGACGGAGACACGGCCCAGACUCCUACGGGAGGCAGCAGUGGGGAAUAGUGCACAAUGGGCGAAAGCCUGAUGCAGCGACGCCGCGGGAGGGAUGGAGGCCUUCGGGUUGUGAACCUCUUUCGCCAGUGAAGCAGGCCUGCCUCGUUUGUGGGUGGGUUGACGGUAGCUGGAGAAGAAGCGCCGGCUAACUACGUG